rnacentral:lncRNA from 1 species
CUGGAAUGGGUGAGAUUCGCUUUGGGGAUCUCCCAAGCCAUAUCAGAAUCAAUGAUCCAGAUGAAAUAGUAUUCAAGUUCAUAAUGGAAUCUACUCAGAGCGCAACUAAUGCUACAGGACAUGUAUUUCAUACUUUUGAUGAUUUGGAGCUAAAAGUUGUGAAUGCCAUCUCAUCUAUGUUUAAGGGUGUCCACACAAUAGGCCCCCAACAGUUGCUUCUGAACCAAAUACCGACAGAUCAGGAAGAGAGUCUCAGGAGCAUUGGAUACAGUCUUUGGGAAGAGGACAAGACAUGUCUCGAAUGGUUGGACUCUAAAGAAGCUGAUUCUGUAGUUUACAUAAACUUUGGAAGCAUAACAGUCUUGUCCCCGGAGCAAUUGAUGGAGUUUGGCUGGGGGCUAGCUAACAGCAACUGCUCCUUCUUAUGGAUAAUUAGGCCAGAUUUGAUCGUGGGUGAAUCUGACAUUACUCUUGGAAAUGAAUUCAUGGACGCUAUCAAGAACAGGGGCCUCAUUGCAAGCUGGUGUCCCCAAGAGGAUGUUCUGAACCACGUAUCCGUGGGAGGGUUUUUGACACAUGGAGGGUGGAACUCAAUCAUUGAGAGCAUAUCUGCUGGAGUGCCCAUGCUCUGUUGGCCUUUCUUCGGUGAUCAAACAACAAACUGUAAGUACAUGUGCCACGAAUGGGAGUGCGGAAUGGAGAUUCGUAAUGAUGUUAACAGAGAUGAUGUGGAGAAGCUUGUUAGGCUAUUGAUGGACGGAGUGGAGGGUAAGAAAAUGAGAAACAAAACCAUGCAGUGGAAAAAAAUGGCAGAAAAGGCCUGUCAGCCUGAUGGCUCAUCUUCCCUUAAUUUGGACAAACUGGUUCUUCUAUUGAAAAACUAAAACACUAGAUUUCCAGUUACCUUUUCCAAACUUUGUGAGCUUUUGCUUGCUUCUAGCUUUAUCAGGUCUCAGCAUUUUAUUUCCUGUCAUGCUUAAAUUAUGCAGCUCCUCUAUUACUGUCCUAAAUGUUCAUUGUAAAAUUUUAUCAAAGGACAAUGCUGGUUUCGAUACAAGUAGCCAGUAUUCGUAGAUGAAAUAAUGCCAGUGGAGCACGAUUAUCAUCUAUACAAUUGCAAAGAAAUGCUACCUGUAUGAACUGUAGUUUGCAUAUAGCUACCAUAUUAAAUAACCAUCUUCCAUCUCCAUCAUACCGUUAAAAUGUUUUGCCCAGUUCUACAUUGGUUUUAUUAAUUCUAUUUGUGAAGAUCGGUUUCUUAUAAGCUACAAGGUAAACGUGCAACAAGCUAUACCUGACUGGAAGACAUCGUCAAGUAGGUACUUCUUCACUACACAUUUUUUUUCCUAUUUAUUUUUUGUUUCUCUUACAGUAAAGAUGCUGUAAGCCAACAUACUGGAUCAGUCUUAUGAGAACGCCGCGGAAAUGAUUGAUCAUAUUAAUUAAUAUAUUUAUAAGAUUUUGAUGUAAAACUAAUCAUAAAAAUGAUUGAUCAUAUGGAUUAGGUAAGAAUGAUUGAUCAAAAUAAUAUAUUUACCAUGGAUUAGGUAAAAUGAUUGAUCAUAUUAAUUAAUAUAUUUAGAGGUCGAUUGGUUUAAUUCCUGAAAACACAGUAUUAUAUAAUUUCAAAAGAGUUAAUGAUAUUUAUGUUUAUAAUAAUAUAUUUUAUUUUUAUUUUUAAUAAUUAAUAUAAUUUAUUAUUUAAAAAUAUUAUUAUUUUAAAUAAUUUGACUUGUACAUUGUAUUAAAAUAAUUUUAAUUUAUAAAAACUAAAUUAAAAUUUAUUUUUGAUUUUCAAAAAAAUAUUUACAUAAGGCCUUUGUUUUUAAUGAUUUUUGAAAUAUAUUAUUAAUGAAAAUGAAAAAAAUGAAUAAGUAAAGGGAUUAGGUAAACAUAAAAUUAAAAAUGGAAAGACAAUGACAAUUUUUAUAAAACAAACACUAACAAAGGGAAUUAAAUUUAUUGUUUCUCUUUCCUUUUGUUAGUUACCUUUAUACAAACGAUCCUUUAUACUAUUUUAAAAUUUGUAUUUGUAAAACUUCUGUAAUUUAAUGAAUUGAUUAUAAUAAUCAAGUUUAAAUAUGUAAUUUUGUUAAUAAUUGAUAUAGUAUUCGAUAAAUUAACUAGUGCGAUGAGAUUUGCUAGCAUUUUAGUCGAGGAUCCCAAUAAUCAAAAUAUGUUAUAUUAUAAUUUAUACGAAGUACAUAUAAUUUUUUUUGAGCAUCCCAUCACAUAAAAUCAUUAGCUAAAUAUUUUAUAUAUAGAAAUUAUAGGAAUUGUCUAGAAAAAUUUGAUCUGGAUGGGACAAAAUUAUUGUAUACUCCCCCGUCCCUGAGUAGUAUACAUUGGGGGAAGGGGACGCGGCACGGACUUUAAUGCUCCUGUAAAAUGUAGUUAUGUAAUUUAUUUUUAAAAUUUUCUUUUUCUGAAUUAAAGUUUGGAUGUUAUAUUUUUAUUCAGAAAAAGAAAAUCUCAAAAAUAAGUCACGGAACUAUGUUUUUAUAAGAGCAUUGAAAUGCGUGUCGAGCAAUUGAAAAGAAACGUAUACAAUUAAAUGGGAUAGAGGGAGUAUAAUUUUAAUCCAGAUUAGCUGUACAGACGUAUAAAUAUAUGUUACAAGAUUUCACAUCAUUUAUUAUAAUAUUUAAAUAGAAGAUAUUUUAUUUACAACAACUUGAAAUAAUAAUAAUAUAUCAUUUUUAAAUAUAUACGACCCAUAUAGUAGUAUCAUGAAGCAAAUGUUUUAUAAUUGACGGAGUAUAAUAUUUUGGAGUAUAAUAUUUUACUUGUUCAAUCUAAUAAAUUAUUUUUAAGACAAUAUUAUCGGAGAUGCUCCGGAUAAGAUUGUAGAAUAAUUCAAACAUUCAUUGCUUUCGAUUAAUAGGGUCUGUAGUGUGCCAUAUUGAGUCGAUUUAGUAAAUGCUGAUGAAUUUCGUCCACAUAUCUGUUGUCGGUAGAGGUUCACUGUGUGCUCUAAAUUAUUGAAUUUGGACAAACAGUAUUCAUAUCAUUAUUCUUACUAUUAUUCUUUUGACAUCGUCUAAUAGUCGUUACUGAAUUCACAUACAAAAAACACUCUGAAAUUUAUAGUGCGUUUCUUGAAAAAAUUGUGGCUAUUUUUUGAAUAUCAAAUUACAAACUCUUACUCCUUCCAUAUUAAAAUAAGAGUCUUUUUGACUUUUUACAUAUAAUUUGAAGUAGAAAAGACAUGUUUCUAAAUAUUAUUCUUCAAAAUUUUUUAAAAAGAUUGUAAAUAUUAAACUUUUAUUUAGGUAGAAGAAAAUUUUAAAAAUAAUAUGUACGAUAAUGUUUUUUUAUAUCAAAACAGAUAAAAGAAGUAUAUAUGCUAAUAUUAUUAAAAAUAAUUAAUGAUUUAUAAAUCUUUGUUUCAUGAUGUAAGUUCACAGGGUAAACAGUAAAAAUUAUUCUCUCUCAAGAAUCAGGUCAACGAGUGCUUAUAAUUUAAAUCUACUAUUGUAUUUGUAUUGUGCCAAUAGUCUUCAUGUAUAAGGGUAACCAAAUUUGGGCGGGAGUAUUGUAAUCAACUACUCCAUGUAUAUGACUUUCAUUUAUUUUUUUUAGUGUUGUGAUCGGAUAAUUAAAAAUAUUAUUUUUUAAAUUUUUUUUUCUAAAUAAAAAUAUGUAAUAAAAAAUUAAAUUCAUAAAAAGAUAAAUUAAAAAUAACAUUUUUUACUAGCCGGUUACGGUGCCCAAGUCAAAGUGACAUAUAAAAAAACAUAGUUUCGGGUUCCAUUUCCUACCUGAAAAAUAACGGUGAUGGUGGUAGAAUGUGCAAAAUAGCAAUUAACCGAGAUGCUCGAAAACUGACCAUGCACCAGCACAUGCUCUUUUUACUAGAUCCCCUCAAAGAUCUAGUUUAUCUGUAUUUUGUUCGGGCAUUUUAAGCACCAAUCAUUUGUACUAGUAUUUAUUUGCUUCAAGAUAUCAGUGAGUAAUACUAUAUAAAAAGCAAGAAAAAGCUUUUGCCAAGUGCACUUGCUGUCUGCGUAACAAAAAGAGGCAUGGAUACCUUAGAAACAACAGCAAACAAGCAGGGCCAUGUAGUUUGCAUACCUUUUCCCUGUCAAAGCCACAUUAAGGCAAUGCUCAAGAUGGCAAAGCUCCUAUAUAGCAAAGGCAUUUUCGUUACAUUUGUGAAUACCGACUACAAUCAUAAGCGCUUCCUCAAAUCAGGAGGUGCUCAGGCUCUUGAUGGCCUGCCUGGUUUUAAUUUUGAAUCAAUUCCCGAUGGCCUGCAUUCAUCUGAUUCUGAUGUCACGCAAGAUAUAACUGCCCUUUGUCAUUCCAUCUUUGAGAAAGAAAUGUUGCUUCCUUUUAAGAACCUCCUCACACAACUUAAUACCGGAACAAACCAGGUCACUUCCAUCCUCUCCGAUGGCUUCAUGCCAUUUGCAGCUGAUGCGGCACAUUCCCAUGAAGUUCCUAUAAUUUUGUUUUGGACAGUUGCUGCUUGUGCGUUCAUGGGAUUUUUGCAGUUCAAAAAUGCCCUUGAAAGAGGUCUUGUACCAUUCAAAGGUAAGAAUUUUUAAAUCCAGCAUCAACAUUGUUAGAAUAAUCAAUUAAAUUAUUAAAGAUAGUCUAGGCAGUCUGAUCAUUUAUUUGUUAUGCGAAAAUUAUCUGUUGCCGUGGAUUGUACAAGAAUACCUAGCCCUUUCUUGUUUUUAUGUCAAUAAAUUUUAACAAUUAAGCACAAUUUAAAUACUGCAGAUGACAGCUAUUUAACAAACGGGUGUUUGGACACCAUAAUAGACUGGAUCCCUGGAAUGGGUGAGAUUCGUUUUGGGGAUCUCCCAAGCCAUAUCAGAAUCAAAGAUUCAGAUGAUGUAGUAUUCAAGUUCGUAAUCGAAUCUACUCAGAGCGGAACUAAUGCUACAGGACAUGUACUUCAUACUUUCGAUGAUUUGGAGCUAAAAGUUCUGAAUGCCAUCUCAUCUAUGUUUAAGGGUGUCCACACAAUAGGCCCCCAACAGUUGCUUCUCAACCAAAUACCGACAGAUCAGGAAGAGAGUCUCAGGAGCAUUGGAUACAGUCUUUGGGAAGAGGAAAAGACAUGUCUCCAGUGGAUGGACUCUAAAGAAGCUGAUUCUGUAGUUUACAUAAACUUUGGAAGCAUAACAGUCUUGUCUCCGGAGCAAUUGAUGGAGUUUGGCUGGGGGCUAGCUAACACCAACUGCUCCUUCUUAUGGAUAAUUAGGCCAGAUCUGAUCAUGGGUGAAUCCGACAUUACUCUUGGAAAUGAAUUUAUGGACGCCAUUAAGAACAGGGGC